GGACUUGCUCCUGUUUUUCCGGCGGANGNUGAGUACNCUUUGGGCACCUGCCUAUAAGACUGGGAUAACUUCGGGNAACCGGAGCUAAUACCGGAUACGUUCUUUUCUCGCAUGAGAGAAGAUGGAAAGACGGUUUACGCUGUCACUUAUAGAUGGGCCCGCGGCGCAUUAGCUAGUUGGUGAGGUAAUGGCUCACCAAGGCGACGAUGCGUAGCCGACCUGAGAGGGUGAUCGGCCACACUGGGACUGAGACACGGCCCAGACUCCUACGGGAGGCAGCAGUAGGGAAUCUUCCGCAAUGGACGAAAGUCUGACGGAGCAACGCCGCGUGAACGAAGAAGGCCUUCGGGUCGUAAAGUUCUGUUGUUAGGGAAGAACAAGUACCAGAGUAACUGCUGGUACCUUGACGGUACCUAACCAGAAAGCCACGGCUAACUACGUGCCAGC
rnacentral:rRNA from 2 species